GGGUUGUGAGGUUAAGCGACUAAGCGUACACGGUGGAUGCCCUGGCAGUCAGAGGCGAUGAAGGACGUGCUAAUCUGCGAUAAGCGCCGGUAAGGUGAUAUGAACCGUUAUAACCGGCGAUUUCCGAAUGGGGAAACCCAGUGUGACUCGUCACACUAUCAUUAACUGAAUCCAUAGGUUAAUGAGGCGAACCGGGGGAACUGAAACAUCUAAGUACCCCGAG
rnacentral:rRNA from 2 species